rnacentral:tRNA from 1 species
GGAGAGAUGGCAGAGUGGUUGAAUGCGGCUGUCUUGAAAACAGUUGACCGAGCAAUCGGUCCGUGGGUUCGAAUCCCUCUCUCUCCGCCA